rnacentral:rRNA from 1 species
AGUAGGGAAUAUUGGACAAUGGGCGCAAGCCUGAUCCAGCCAUGCCGCGUGAGUGAAGAAGGCCUUCGGGUUGUAAAGCUCUUUUGUCCGGAAAGAAAAACCUUGGGUUAAUACCCUGAGGUUCUGACGGUACCGGAAGAAUAAGCACCGGCUAACUUCGUGCCAGCAGCCGCGGUAAUACGAAGGGUGCAAGCGUUACUCGGAAUUACUGGGCGUAAAGCGUGCGUAGGUGGUUUGUUAAGUCUGAUGUGAAAGCCCUGGGCUCAACCUGGGAAUUGCAUUGGAUACUGGCAGGCUAGAGUGCGGUAGAGGGUAGUGGAAUUCCCGGUGUAGCAGUGAAAUGCGUAGAGAUCGGGAGGAACAUCUGUGGCGAAGGCGACUACCUGGACCAGCACUGACACUGAGGCACGAAAGCGUGGGGAGCAAA